rnacentral:rRNA from 1 species
CCUACGGGAGGCAGCAGUGAGGAAUAUUGGUCAAUGGACGAGAGUCUGAACCAGCCAAGUAGCGUGAAGGAUGACUGCCCUAUGGGUUGUAAACUUCUUUUAUAUGGGAAUAAAAUGUUCCACGUGUGGGAUUUUGUAUGUACCAUAUGAAUAAGGAUCGGCUAACUCCGUGCCAGCAGCCGCGGUAAUACGUAGGAUCCGAGCGUUAUCCGGAUUUAUUGGGUUUAAAGGGAGCGUAGGUGGAUUGUUAAGUCAGUUGUGAAAGUUUGCGGCUCAACCGGAGAAUUGCAGUUGAAACUGGCGGUCUUGAGUGCAGUAGAGGUGGGCGGAAUUCGUGGUGUAGCGGUGAAAUGCUUAGAUAUCACGAAGAACUCCGAUGGCGAAGGCAGCUCACUGGACUGCAACUGACACUGAGGCUCGAAAGUGUGGGUAUCAAACAGGAUUAGAUACCCCUGUAGUC